CUGGAAAUCUCCAUUUCUCUAGCAGCCAGGUGCUCUGGUUAAGAGCUUCCUUCACAGGGACCUCUAUACUGUCAGAGGCAGCAUCCAAGAGAAGACCCAAGAGCUUUGGGGCUCCAGAAAAUAUACCCCUACAGGGAUAGGUUAACUGCUAGAGCACACAGGACUUCACUUGGGAGUGACAAGAUUCUAAAAUUGUGGUGACAGCGACACAACUCUUAAUACACUGAGCCAGCAUUGUUAGUUCCAGUGACGCCUGGAGGUUCCUCUUUACUUCUGCUGAUGGCGGCACGGGGGUCUUAUCCAAAAUUGCAUGGCAUGUGAAUAAUUUCUCAACAGGGCUGCUACCAAGAGGAAAUUCCCCCACAGCCUCUCCAUCACUGUGUCCCAGUUCUCCCUUCAACACCUCUCACUCCACAGCCCCUGUGUCUGAGCAGCAGGCACCUACACCCAGCACUCCCUAGCACCUUCCUUAGAUGGUGGCUCUCUGUGGCACCUGUGUUUGUCAAAUAGUAUUUAAGCCUUUGUUCUCUCCCACCAGUCUGUGAGGUACAGUUUUUGUCUACCUCCUA
rnacentral:lncRNA from 1 species